rnacentral:lncRNA from 1 species
UAAACAGGGAAAUUUUCGCGAUAUUUUGAUUUUCGCUAUUUUUCGCGGUAAAAAUUGAAACACGAAAAUAAAACGACCGUGAAAAUAUCAAGGAAACUCUUUUUAUAACAUUUACUUUUACCAGGUGUGACUUGAAUGGAGAGUUGUCUCAUUGGCACUCAUACCAUAUCUUCUAAUAUCUACGUAUAUAAGAAGAAUAUCUAUAGGACUACUGUAUAACACUGAUUUUAUAAACGACACAUAUAUAACUGAAAUCAUAGCUAUAUCUUCUAAUGAAAAGAAAUGUUAGAAGUAAUGAAUUUAACGCUAAUCAUUACAUCAUAAACACGGAAGUCAACAUUACGGAUAUUGUUAUGUAAAUAAACUCAUCAUAGAUACCAGGACGAAAUUUUAUAUAUACGCCAGACGCGCGUUUCGUCUACAAAAAACUCAUCAGUGACGCUCCAAUCCAAAAAGUAAAAAAAAAAAUAGCCAAAUAAAGAACGAAGUUGAAGAGCAUUGAGAUCCAAAAUUCCUAACAGUGUUGCCAAAUACAUCUAAGGUAAUCUAUGCCUGAGGUAGAAAAACAAAACUCGUUACAAAUAUGUAAAUGACACAGGUCAAUCAGUAAUAAAAAUAUAACCUCGUUUAAUCUACUACAGAGAACAAUUAGAUAAAAAGAUCGACUAAUUAGCAUUAAUCCUGACAGCAUUUUAUUUUAAUUAGGUCCUAAUUAGUAGAAAUAGGAAGAUGUGGUGUGAGUGCCAAUGAGACAACUCUCCAUCUAAAUAACAAUCUAUAAAAGUAAACCAUUACAGGUCUACUUUUCUGUUAUUGUGUAUGUGUUUUUACAAGC